GAUGAACGCUAGCGGCAGGCUUAAUACAUGCAAGUCGAGGGACAGCACAGGUAGCAAUACUGGGUGGUAACCGGCAAACGGGUGCGGAACACGUACACAACCUUCCUUUAAGUGGGGGAUAGCCCAGAGAAAUUUGGAUUAAUACCCCGUAAUAUAGUUGAAUGGCAUCAUUUGAUUGUUAUAGCUACGGCGCUUAAUGAUGGGUGUGCGGCUGAUUAGAUAGUUGGCGGGAUAACGGCCCACCAAGUCUACGAUCAGUAGCUGAUGUGAGGGCAUGAUCAGCCACACGGGCACUGAGACACGGGCCCGACUCCUACGGGAGGCAGCAGUAAGGAAUAUUGGUCAAUGGACGCAAGUCUGAACCAGCCAUGCCGCGUGAAGGAUUAAGGUCCUCUGGAUUGUAAACUUCUUUUAUUUGGGACGAAAAAGGGCCCUUCUAGGUCAACUGACGGUACCAGAUGAAUAAGCACCGGCUAACUCCGUGCCAGCCGCCGCGGUAAAAC
rnacentral:rRNA from 1 species